rnacentral:rRNA from 1 species
AUUGAACGCUGGCGGCAGGCCUAACACAUGCAAGUCGAACGAGCGGCGGACGGGUGAGUAAUGUAUGGGGAUCUGCCCGAUGGAGGGGGAUAACUACUGGAAAAGGUGGCUAAUACCGCAUACUAUCGGAUGUACCCAGAUGGGAUUAGCUAGUAGGUGGGGUAAAGGCUCACCUAGGCGACGAUCCCUAGCUGGGCUGAGAGGAUGACCAGCCACACUGGAACUGAGACACGGCCCAGACUCCUACGGGAGGCAGCAGUGGGGAAUAUUGCACAAUGGGCGCAAGCCUGAUGCAGCCAUGCCGCGUGUAUGAAGAAGGCCUUAGGGUUGUAAAGUACUUUCAGCGGGGAGGCGUUACCCGCAGAAGAAGCACCGGCUAACUCCGUGCCAGCAGCCGCGGUAAUAC